rnacentral:Y_RNA from 1 species
GGCUAGUCCGAGUGUAGUGGUGUUUACAGUCGAUCACAGACAGUUACAGAUAUCUUUGCUCCUUCUCUACUCCCACUGCUUCACUUGAGUAGCCUAAA